CCUACGGGGAGCUGCAGUGGGGAAUAUUGGACAAUGGGCGAAAGCCUGAUCCAGCCAUGCCGCGUGUGUGAAGAAGGCCUUCGGGUUGUAAAGCACUUUCAGUGGGGAAGAAAGCCUUGGGGCUAAUACCCUCGAGGAAGGACAUCACCCACAGAAGAAGCACCGGCUAACUCCGUGCCAGCAGCCGCGGUAAUACGGAGGGUGCGAGCGUUAAUCGGAAUUACUGGGCGUAAAGCGCGCGUAGGCGGUCUGAUAAGCCGGUUGUGAAAGCCCCGGGCUCAACCUGGGAACGGCAUCCGGAACUGUCAGGCUAGAGUGCAGGAGAGGAAGGUAGAAUUCCCGGUGUAGCGGUGAAAUGCGUAGAGAUCCGGAGGAAUACCAGUGGCGAAGGCGGCCUUCUGGACUGACACUGACGCUGAGGUGCGAAAGCGUGGGUAGCAAACAGGAUUAGAUACCCGAGUAGUC
rnacentral:rRNA from 1 species